rnacentral:rRNA from 1 species
CUUCGGGGUCCGAGUUGUAAUUUGUAGAGGGUGUUUCGGGCGCGAUGCCGGUCUAAGUUCCUUGGAACAGGACGUCGCAGAGGGUGAGAAUCCCGUAUGCGACCGGCGAUCAAGUCUGUGUGAAACCCCUUCGACGAGUCGAGUUGUUUGGGAAUGCAGCUCAAAAUGGGUGGUAAAUUUCAUCUAAAGCUAAAUAUUGGCCAGAGACCGAUAGCGGACAAGUAGAGUGAUCGAAAGAUGAAAAGCACUUUGGAAAGAGAGUCAAACAGUACGUGAAAUUGUUGAAAGGGAAGCGCUUGCAAUCAGACCGGUCCGGAGGCGAUCAGCCGUCUGCUCGUUCAGCGGUGCACUCGCCUGCGAUCCGGCCAGCAUCGGUUUGGGCGGUGGGAUAAAAGUCCCGGGAAUGUAGCUUCUCUUGGGGAGUCUUAUAGCCCGGGUCGCAAUGCCGCCCGCCUGGACCGAGGACCGCGCUUCGGCUAGGAUGCUGGCGUAAUGGUUGCAAGCG